rnacentral:rRNA from 1 species
UACGGAGGAUCCAAGCGUUAUCCGGAAUCAUUGGGUUUAAAGGGUCCGUAGGCGGUUUAGUAAGUCAGUGGUGAAAGCCCAUCGCUCAACGGUGGAACGGCCAUUGAUACUGCUAGACUUGAAUUAUUAGGAAGUAACUAGAAUAUGUAGUGUAGCGGUGAAAAUGCUUAGAGAUUACAUGGAAUACCAAUUGCGAAGGCAGGUUACUACUAAUGGAUUGACGCUGAUGGACGAAAGCGUGGGUAGCGAACAGG